CAAAGUCUCACUGCAGGACCUCAGUUUGGGAGUUCUGAGCCUCACCUAUUGAUGCAAAGCUUAAUGACAUUUAUGAGAUAUCGCUACAGACCACAGCUGAUGCAAGACUGGAAGUAAAAGCACUUGCUGUAUGACUGAGCAUUUUUCCCUCUCCAAGCCUACAGUUUAGAGGUUGCUCAGCUACAGAGGAUGUUAUUAUGUUCAUAAGAAAAGCACAUCUGCACACUCCACUUUUUAAAUCAUCGCCUUUGUGAUUUGAUAAUUUCUGGAUGUUACUGCCAAUAACUUCUCUGCGACU